AAGCUCCCAAGGCUAUUUAUUACUUACUCUUUUGGUUCUCCGGUCCAUUUGACAACACUUUUUGGGCACUCAAAUUCGUAUUCCUUGGCCAAUUUUUAAAUUUUUCAUGCUGAUUUGAAGGCCAUUAAAGCAUUUGAACCAGUCGAAAAAUUUUAAGUUGUAUAUCUUUUACGGUUUUUGUGGGAAGUCGUGUUAAAGUUGAUGCCGUGGUGUUAGUAAAAUGGUACCCUUAUAAAAGCUCAGAUUUAUUUUCUGACAGAAAGCUAGAAAUAAUCCAAAAUAUCAAAAUUGUUCUACACUCAUUUUAAUGACAGUUCAUGACCUUAAAUUGCACGAGAAAUUUAUUAAAUUCGGAUUCAGAGUUCCUUAUGCCUUAAACUUCAGGUUUUACCAAUGUGGCCCAGGUUAUCUCGUGUCAAAUGACUGAAAAAAGAACACCAACAAAAACCUGCCUCCGUUUAUAACUGACUAGAAACCCGCUAGUCGAAAGCUUUGUUCGAGGAAAUUAAAAAAAUUAUUUAUGUUUAAAUUUAUCUAGUCUCUUCACAUCACCAUUUAGCUCAAAGCUCUUUACUGUAGAAAGUAUGGAUUUUAUUUGACAAUGACGAAAACGUUGUAAGUAUUCGGUCAUCAAAAUGAGUUUAUAACAAGGUCGAUAUUUUGGUAAAUUUUUUUUCUGUCAUAAGUUGAAUUUGGGUUUCUAUAGGGGGUAAUAGAGAUAUGCUACAGUACAGUACUUACAUUCACAUUCACAACCACGGGAGCUCACCUGGUCCAAUGAGCGCGAAACGGAGAACAAGCUCUGGAUACGUCACAGUCACGUGACCUCAGGCUCACAAUAACGUGACCUCAGACCCAAUCAACUGACUUCUGGCCUGGUCAGCCAUUGGGAGACUUUGGGUCAGAAAACUGAUCCGGCCCCCAAGAGGGGUCAGAUCACGUCACUAAUUAAUGACGUAUAAUUAGUGAUGUGAUCCAUAGAUUAAAUAUAAUUAACACAGAAAUGGACUAGAUCUGGGGUAGAGUUCACAUGUCAAUUCUGUAAAUCAUAGCUGUACAUUAAGAAGUAAACAUGAUCUGACUGCUCGACUCGUAGAUCACAUAAGGGACGGGAGCUCUUGCUAAAGGGGGGUUCUCGUAUCAAGGGAUGUGAGACGUACUUGCCAAAGGCAUGUAAGGAGAGUGAGCCGAUCAAGUGUUCUUAGGUAUAUAUACUGGAAGAUAGUAGUAUCGCAGGUAGUAGUAUCGCAUUCUAUCAACAGUCAUGCCUACCUUCUCUAGUUGUGGACACAACAAGAAAAUUGAGAAUAAUCUUGUGCGAGGGUAGGGACCCAGAUGUCGUUUCUAACCCAAAUAAACUUUAAGGAGGCUUCUCAUCAGUAGCCGCACCUCCUUACUCGGUUUCUGAACUGGAAUUCUAUGGGCUUCCAGACGGCCAGACCGAGUAUUACCAUCCCAUCCUUCUAGAGUUCAUCACAAGUAGCACCCACCUUGAAGAUCUUUGACACCCAGACACACCCCAUUGGCGAACAAACUUUGGAUAUAAUCUUACAUGCUCCCGAAGGAAUCCCUGGUUUAUGGUCUUUCUCAUCGUCACCAGCACUUUCACUAGGUCACCAGCUCUUUCACUGAAGUCAUCAGCCCUUUCACUGAAGUCAUCAGAUGUGACUCUGAUCAACGGUAUAGUUGUGGACACAACAAGAAAAUUGAGAAUAAUCUUGUGCGAGGGUAGGGACCCAGAUGUCGUUUCUAACCCAAAUAAACUUUAAGGAGGCUUCUCAUCAGUAGCCGCACCUCCUUACUCGGUUUCUGAACUGGAAUUCUAUGGGCUUCCAGACGGCCAGACCGAGUAUUACCAUCCCAUCCUUCUAGAGUUCAUCACAAGUAGCACCCACCUUGAAGAUUUUUGACACCCAGACAGUGUCUGGCAGACACACCCCAUUGGCGAACAAACUUUGGAUAUAAUCUUACAUGCUCCCGAAGGAAUACCCAACAAAGAUUGAGUACUUGUUCGCUGUUGCGAAAUACUUUGGUAAUAAUAUUGAGUAAUUUGUUGUAUUCUGAAGUAUUAUAUUAUUAAUCGAUUUAACAUUUUAUAACCAACCAAUACAUUGUCUCAAUUUAAAACAUCCAUGGAUCACAUCACUAAUUAUACGCCACAAGCUUCAAGCUUGCACGUUAAUUAAUUGAUGACGUAUAUUGUGGUCAUAUCACUUCUGACCCAAGGUCUGGCAGUCAGCUCCCUGUAAUUACAUGAUCUUGAGGUGACGUACGACACCUCGCUGCAAAUUUUCACAUGCCAAAAACGUAAGAUUCUUAAGGAGUUGUGCGAGAUGACGAUACAUAGAGGCCGCAGAAUCAUGAGGACUACCAGAUCCUCAUGGUUGAACCUAAGCGAUCCAUGAUAUCACGACAAGUCCUACUAUACGGCUACAGUAAACAAUGAUCAUUAUACUUUCUGCACCAGCAAUACACAAUAUCCAACUCAAAACAGGUAUCUAUUGUAAUUCGUGUUAUGAUGCAAAAAAUUACACGUCAGUGUUGAAGGGUUGGGCGGGGUCAAUCAUGAGGCAAAAUGGUGUUCGUGCAUAGCCAGGCCUUGAAGGCCAAAAAGUUAGAAGGUGUGUUUUAAUUGUUUUAUCAACAAACAUUUUUGGCCACAGUUCAUAGAGCAAUACUGUUUUAGAUUAUGUUAACAAUUUCUUAACCGUUGUAUCCACAAUCUGAAUUAUCAUAUCGAUACCACCUUUCUUUCAUACUCAUGAAAUCAAUAUAACGAUCGCAAUACAGAUAUCAAGGAGCUAUGAUGAUGAUGAUGAAGAUUGUGGCAGUAUUUCUACUCGUGGCUGGAUUUAAUGCUCAAUCACAAACACCACCAUGUGUUAAUAAAUUUGACACUAUGAAUGGUUUUGAAAACAUGUGUAAUAUACAUAUUACACUUGGGCAAGGAAACUGCCUAGGAGCAAAAGAAGAAACACUUAGAGAAAAUUGCGCUAAAGCUUGCGGUUUCUGCUAUUAGCUAACUGGGUGCUAAGUGCAGAUACCUCUAAUGAUGACGUGAUCACGUUAUACUUGCUCUAACAUGCAGUAGCGCGGGACCGCAGUACGCGUAGACACAUGUGUGAUCACGUGAUACCUGAUGGGUGGAGGUUACGAGGACAAUUAUUCAUUGUUAUCUUAAUCAAUGGGCACAAUAAGUUGAUUUCUGUAAUCAUAGCUUACAAUCUUAUAAUGUGUUUAAAACGAUUCCGUAUUACUAUACUAUUCUUCUAAACUGUAACAAUUUUCCUGUAUUUGAUGCUUUUAGCAUUUGAAUUUAA